GUUUAAAUAGUUUAAAAAAAACAUUAGUUUUGUAUACUAAUAUUAAGAAUAUUUCUUUUUAAACA
rnacentral:tRNA from 1 species